CCCUUAGAUGUUCUGGGCCGCACGCGCGCUACACUGACGAAUGCAACGAGCUUAUAACCUUGGCCGAAAGGUCUGGGUAAUCUCCAAAUUUCGUCGUGAUGGGGAUAGAUUAUUGCAAUUAUUAAUCUUCAACGAGGAAUGCCUAGUAAGCGCAAGUCAUCAGCUUGCGUUGAUUACGUCCCUGCCCUUUGUACACACCGCCCGUCGCUCCUACCGAUUGAAUGGUCCGGUGAAGCGUUCGGAUUGGCGCGCACCUCGGUGCCGCCGAGAAGUUGGCUAAACCUUACCAUUUAGAGGAAGGUGAAGUCGUAACA
rnacentral:rRNA from 1 species